CCUACGGGUGGCAGCAGUGGGGAAUAUUGGGCAAUGGAGGCAACUCUGACCCAGCAACGCCGCGUGAAUGAUGAAGGUCUUCGGAUUGUAAAGUUCUGUGAUGGGGGAUGAACACAAUGACGGUAUCCCAAUAGCAAGCCAUGGCUAACUACGUGCCAGCAGCCGCGGUAAUACGGAGGUGGCAAGCGUUAUCCGGAAUGACUGGGCGUAAAGGGGGCGUAGGGGGUUUAGUAAGUUGGCGGUGUAAUUCCGGGGCUCAACCUCGGCGCUACCGCCAAAACUAUUAGACUAGAGUGCAGGAGGGGUAAGUGGAAUUCCUAGUGUAGCGGUGGAAUGCGUAGAUAUUAGGAGGAACAUCAGGGGCGAAGGCGACUUACUGGACUGUAACUGACACUGAGGCACGAAAGCGUGGGGAGCAAACAGGAUUAGAUACCCUAGUAGUC
rnacentral:rRNA from 1 species